rnacentral:rRNA from 1 species
GACUCUCGGCAACGGAUAUCUCGGCUCUCGCAUCGAUGAAGAACGUAGCGAAAUGCGAUACCUGGUGUGAAUUGCAGAAUCCCGUGAACCAUCGAGUCUUUGAACGCAAGUUGCGCCCGAGGCCACUCGGCCGAGGGCACGCCUGCCUGGGCGUCA